GAGGACCGGUGGGGUGGGCUGGGACAAAGCCCACCUCCGUAGCGCCGGCGAGUGGGGCCCAGCACUGUUCACCUCCUCGCAGUUCAGCCAGGACUGCUGUCCUCACCCUGACGCAAGGAAAGAGAGGUUGUUUGACCCGGCCAGAGUCACGCAGCUGCACAGAGGCCCGGCUGAGAGUGGACCCCGCACUCCUGCCCCAACCUCACGCCCUCGAGGGUCCUCUGCCCUGACCUCAUGCCCUCGAGUGUCCUCUGCCCUGACCUCACGCCCUCGAGGGUCCUCUGCUGCCAGAUGAUCUGUUACUCAUCACCAUCUUGUUCCUCAAAUGAGGGUGAGAACCUUUGACGAAGCCCACGUCCUGCGAAGGGGACACAGGGGUUUCUCACGGAGGUGAGACCCGGAGCGUAUCAGCAUUUGCCGAGCAUAAUUAAAAAGCAGGAAGAGAAUGAAUAAAGCAAUGUCUUUCAUACGAUGUGCAGCCCAAAGUCACGGUGUGGCUCCAUAACAUCCGUGCUACCUCCUGGAACGAUGCGCGUGCUCUCGAGGCAAAACUUCAAGUUGCUGACAGAACUCACUCUGACAUUCUGUGGUGGAAGCCGUGGACGGAAACCCAGGCCUGCCCCCGCUGCCACCUGGGAUCCGUGAGGGCGGUGGGCCGCAGGGUAAGGGUUGUGCCAUUUGGUGUGGAGGGAAGAGAAAACACAGUCAGGGGUGCUCUGGGGGCUGGCCUGCAAGAGAGCGGGGGGCCGCCGGAGACUUUCCCAUCACCUCUCUGUGGUUGGUCUCCUCCUCCGACCCCCUGAGCACUUCCUUUACUUUCCAAAGAUGUAAACGGGGGCUUCCGGAAGGGGAGGUCACGCUCGGCUCUUGGUGUCUGUGCUUCUCUGGGUAAAGCUAACUGGACCGCCGUCCUCCCAGCACAGGGCACACCUGGAGUGGGCGGUGGGGGACACGGGCACAGGUCUCAGGACCGUCAGCAGAUGUGAACGUGGGCCGGCUGCUGGACGACCUGAGGGACCGUGUUUAUCUGGUCCCCACGGGGGUCUGUGGUUGCCCGUGGCGCCAAGCCCCAGAGGAAACCGGCCUCAUUCUUCAGAAAUGCCCGGUGAAGUACCGAGGGGUAAAAUGCCACGCUGUCUGUCAGUUGGCCAAAAUCCUCCGACCCAAACAGUAGAUGGAGCAAAUAUAACAAAAUGCCGAAUUGUUAGAUCGGCGGGUAAGUGCCUGGGUACGUGUGAUUCUCUUCUCUCCACGUGUGCGUAUGUUGAAGAUCUUUCCCACUCACUUGUUGAUCCUGGCCAGUGCUCCGGGCCACCGCCCCGCCCAGGGUACAAGGGUGGGAGCCGAAACCUCCCGGGUCAGCUGAGGGUCCAGCCAGCCUUGACUGCUGGGCAGGUGUAAUCACUGAAAGAAAAUGACAAAGUUCCGAUGACCCCUCGUCCGCUGCCCCAAACCCAGACUGUCUCCUUCCCCUCGCGGUCUUUCUCUCUAUCUCUGUCUUACGUUGUUUCCCACGAGGGAGACUACGUCAAGCCCCUUUCUCUAACUUAGUUAACUAGACGUCAGGGGAAAAUGGGCACAGAAUCACUUCUGUGGCCACCAUCCCACGUAGCCAUUAUUCUCAAUUGCGUUUCCUCUGGAAUUAGCAGCCCUGGGCAUUUGGGGGUGAGGUGUUCCGAGGCAGCUCGGUGUGGAUUGAGCAGGGACGCAAGUCUCUUUGUAGCAGACUUCCUGGGCCGUGCCGUGCAUCUUUCCAGGAGCCCUGGUGUGCAGUGUGUGUGUGCGCAGUGUUUCCCGAGCCCCACUGACCACACAACCUUCCCCGCCUGCCUCUUAUCCUGCAGGACGCCGCUGUCAUCCUCAUCAUUUUUCUGCUGCUCUGUGACCCAUUUACUUCAGAGACGCUGCGAACUGUCUGGGGGAGAGUAGACUUCAAAGUAAUGAUGCUUCCAGCCAUAACCUGAGGUAAGAGAGUGAGGCUCUGUGCCCGCUUCCCCAGCCCACGGACACCAGGCAGCCCUCCUUGAGGAGCAGGGAGGAGCC